rnacentral:rRNA from 1 species
CGUCGUCAGCUUCGUGUCGUGAGAUGUUGGGUUAAGUCCCGCAACGAGCGCAACCCUUAUUAUCAGUUGCCAGCAUUAAGUUGGGCACUCUGGUGAGACUGCCGGUGACAAACCGGAGGAAGGUGGGGAUGACGUCAAAUCAUCAUGCCCCUUAUGACCUGGGCUACACACGUGCUACAAUGGAUGGUACAACGAGUUGCGAACUCGCGAGAGUAAGCUAAUCUCUUAAAGCCAUUCUCAGUUCGGAUUGUAGGCUGCAACUCGCCUACAUGAAGUCGGAAUCGCUAGUAAUCGCGGAUCAGCAUGCCGCGGUGAAUACGUUCCCGGGC